GAUGAACGCUAGCGGCAGGCUUAAUACAUGCAAGUCGAGGGGCAGCAUGAUUGUAGCAAUACAAUUGAUGGCGACCGGCAAACGGGUGCGGAACACGUACACAACCUUCCAACAAGUGGGGGAUAGCCCAGAGAAAUUUGGAUUAAUACCCCGUAACAUAGCGAUGUGGCAUCACAUUGCUAUUAUAGAUUUUUCGCUUGUUGAUGGGUGUGCGGCUGAUUAGAUAGUUGGCGGGGUAACGGCCCACCAAGUCUACGAUCAGUAGCUGAUGUGGGAGAAUGGUCAGCCACACGGGCAAUGAGACACGGGCCCGACUCCUACGGGAGGCAGCAGUAAGGAAUAUUGGACAAUGGACGCAGGUCUGAUCCAGCCAUGCCGCGUGAAGGAUUAAGGUCCUCUGGAUUGUAUACUUCUUUUAUAAGGGACGAAAAAAGGCUUUUCUAAGUCGUCUGACGGUACCUUAUGAAUAAGCACCGGCUAACUCCGUGCCAGCCGCCGCAGUAAAAC
rnacentral:rRNA from 1 species